UACGGAGGGUGCGAGCGUUGUCCGGAAUCACUGGGCGUAAAGGGCGCGUAGGUGGCGACGCAAGUCAACGGUGAAAGCUCGACGCUCAACGUCGAGUCGGCCGUCGAUACUGCAUCGUUGGAGCACUGUAGAGGCAGAUGGAAUUCCGGGUGUAGCGGUGGAAUGCGUAGAGAUCCGGAAGAACACCGGUGGCGAAGGCGGUCUGCUGGGCAGUUGCUGACACUGAGGCGCGACAGCGUGGGGAGCAAACAGG
rnacentral:rRNA from 1 species